UUCUUAUCAAGAGCGGCGGAGGGACAGGCCCUGUGAAGCCCGGCAACAACCAGCAUAGCUGGAAAUGUGCUAAUUCCUGCAGUGUUUAUUUUACUGGAAGAUGAGAA
rnacentral:ncRNA from 2 species